GUUGUGUUUUUUGUAUUGUGCGGAUAUUGUGCUUGAUUCAUAUGUCAUUCGAAUAUAUUUUCUGUUUAUUUUGACUGUUUUAAUAAGGUUGUUUUCAUUUUUUUCUUUGUAGUUUUUCACGUAAACUGAACUUAGUACGAGGGUACCUGCGACACUAUGCAGUCUAUUGUAUUGUGUAUUAUUCAUCAAAUGCGUCUUAUAACAAUAAA
rnacentral:lncRNA from 1 species